rnacentral:rRNA from 1 species
CAGGAUAAACGCUGGCGGCGUGCUCAGGCAUGCAAGUCGAACGAGUGGCCACCUUCGGGUGGUCUACUAGUGGCGGACGGGUGAGUAACGCGUUAGCAACCUGCCCAAAAGUGGGGAAUAACUAACCGAAAGGUUAGCUAAUACCGCAUGUGAUAGCCGGUCCUUGGACUGGUUAUGAAAGGCUUCGGUCGCUUUUGGAGGGGCUUGCGUCAGAUUAGCUAGUUGGUGGGGUAAUGGCCUACCAAGGCGACGAUCUGUAGCUGGUCUGAGAGGACGAUCAGCCACACGGGGACUGAGAUACGGCCCCGACUCCUACGGGAGGCAGCAGCUAGGAAUCUUGGGAAUGGGCGAAAGCCUGACCCAAGCAACGCCGCGUGGGCGAUGAAGGCCUUCGGGUCGUAAAGCCCUUCUGCAGGGGACGAUGAUGACGGUACCCUGCGAAUAAGCCACGGCUAACUACGUGCCAGCAGCGGC